rnacentral:lncRNA from 1 species
GCUGGGAGUUGUGGUUUCUCCCCUGGGGUCUGUGAGGAGAUCCACGUGCUGCCUAGUGAGCCUCCAGCCUAACGCCGAGCCUGUCCAGGUUUUGGUCCGCUGGCUUAGGGCAAGGUUCUGUUUUUGUUUCGUCCUUUCAUUUCAUAGCCUCCAAAAACGUUAAUUGGGCUAAGGUCGGAGCCCAGAGGAGAGACGUGGAGUUUGUGCGUGGCCUGCACGAGGACUGGAGUGGAUCCCCAGCCCCGUGGGGGCGACGGGAGAAGGGACAAAAGGAAGAGAGAAAGAAAGAAACCCAACGGGGUUCGUAGUAGGUGAUGUUUGUGAUUCAACACGAACCUAACUUGCUUGGUAACUCGUGUUCGUUUUAUUCCACGACCCAGAACCACCUUGUGAGACAGCUGGAUCUGAAUUCGUUUCCCUGUUUCACUCAUGAGGAAACUGAAGCUCAGAGUGUCCAAGGAAACCGGAUGUUGAGUAACCGGAAGCAAGGCCUAGCUGUGUUUGCACAACUGUCCGAACAGUGUAAGAGCUGCACCAACUAAACCAAAAACGUGGAAGGAAACAGCUCUAACUGGGUGUUAGAGCGGUCCAGUAAUGACUUCAAUUGUGCAAUGGUUUUGAAGUUACCUUUAUUUUAAAUUCAUUGUGUUUUCCCCAGCAGAACAAUAGAAUUCUUUACAAAUGGUGGCAAUUGGUGGCUUUGGCUGCCUACCAAAAGACAAACUUACAGAUGUUGUGCAAAGUGCCUGGUGAAGAGAAGUAAAAGGAGUGAGAGUAAAAAAUGGUGAAAAUAAGCUUAUUUAAGCCAUUAUUACUCCAGUCUGACAAUUGAUUUCAUCCUACUGAUAAGGUAAGUCUGUUUACUGUUUCAUAGGUGUUGUGGAAGACACAAGAUUUCUGGGUCAGAGACACAAGACCGUCUAUUACUCAAGACCCAAGAAGCAAGGAGCUUCAGCAUGUUUGUGUCAGUUCCUUUUGCCCUUCCCACCUCCUGAGUAACACAUGCUUGAAACAAAGGGCCCAAAUGAAUACUGUGCCCUUAGUGGAUUCACAACACAGCUAAGAAACACUGAACUUGAGGAAGCUGCCAUUCUAUAGGAAGCAGUAAGCCAACCUGUUCUUUGACCUAGAGGGAAAUAUUACUUUAUCCCUCAUGGUUGCUCAUACAAAUACAUCCCCGCAACCCUGAAAUAUAACCCCAGUGAAGAACAGUCAGGACCUUGCAUUUUUGGCAUACCUAGGAAGAUGAAGCAUGAAGAUUACAGUACUGGGCUGGGGUUGUGGCUCAGUGGUAGAGCACUUGACACGCUCGUGUGAGACACUGGGUUCAAUCCUCAGCACCACAUAAAAAUAAAUAAAAUACAGGUGUUGUGUCCAUCUACAGCUAAAAAUAUUUUUUAAAAAACAGUGGCUUAGGGAUGCAGAGAUAAGUAAGAUGAUAUCUACAAACUCCAUGAAAGGCACUAGUACGUGGUCAAACUAACAAAACACAUAUGCCUUGAUCUGGCAGUUCCACUUCCAGGAGUUCAUGCUAGUAUUACACUUUUACAGGUGUAAAAUGACUUUGUGUGUGUGUGUGUGUGUGUGUGUGAAGGGAAGUUGUUGCAGUACUGUUAGUUUCCAAUGGUUUGUGAAUUCAAUCUAACAGUUACUGGUUAAAUGAUACAUCCACAAUGGAAAACUGAAUCAUUGUAAAUAAAGAGUAAGGAAACUGUUUAUGCACUGACGUGGAAAGAUCUCAUGGAGACUGUAUAUGGUUAAGGUAGAACAAGGUGCAGCUCAGACUAGAGCACAUAAUACCAUCCUGUGUGAAAGAGGAAGCAUAUAUAUAUAUAUAUAUAUAUAUAUAUAUAUAUAUAUAUUUAGAAAUAUCACAAGAAACUGAUAACAUUAUGCUGCUGGGGAGGGAGACUAGACAGCUAGGGUGAAGACAAGGGUAGAAAGGAGACUUUUCACUUUAUUCCUGUUUUGGUUUGGAUCUGGAAUGUACCCCCAAAACUCAUGUAUUGAAGUCUUGAUUCCACUGCAUCAGUAUUUAGAGGUAGGGCUUUUAGGAAAUCACUGCUCACAUCCUGCGCUAGUGAUGGGAUCAGGGUCACUCCGCAAUGAAAAGACCACACAAACACAGAAGUACAUUUUGCAGGAGUCAGGGAUGGCUCUUCGACCUCGAGGGUCAAGCUCCCACGCUGGACAGCACUGGAAAAGGUCACGAGGAGCAAGAGAGAACACACCAGAAACCCUCUAUUUAUUAGGAAAAAGACACUCCUUAGAAUAUUCCACUCAAAUAAGGAAAGGGAUACAAUUACAGAAAAUGGGGGUGGGGGGGGAAUGCCCAAGCCCAAAGCUAAGGCACUUCCUUGCCCAACAAAGGUAAGACCCACUUGCUUCUCACAGCGUGCAAUGCCAGUUCAGUACCCCCACUACUCAAGGUUGAGGGGGUGUGCCUAGCUCGUCUGCAGGGCAGCCCUGGCAGGAAGUGGUUGGAUCAUGAAAGCUUUAACCUUACCAAUGGACUAAUCCAUUGAUGAAUUCAUAGCUGAAUGGACUUUUGGAUGGUGGUGGAAGCUGUAGGAGGCGGGGCCUAGUUGAAGGGCAUGGAUCCCUGGAGUACUGUAUCUUUUCUACAACCCCUUCUCUUUCUCUCCUCGCUGCCUCCCUGUGCUUUCUAGCUGCCAUGAGGUUAACAGCUUUGCUCUGUCACUCCCUUCCACCACAAUGCUCUGCCUCAUCCCAGGCUCAGAAACAGUGGAGUCUGCUGACAGUAACCUGAAACUGUGGGCCAAAAUAAAUCUUUCCUCCUUUAAAUUGUUUUUCUUAGGUAUUUUGUCACAGCAAUGAAAAGCUGAUUAACACAAUUCCUUUCUGUAACAGUUCUCUAACUUCUGCAUUUUUAGUCAUAUGACUAUGUUGCCCAUCCAGAAAAUAAGUAAAAUAUUAAGUAAGAAUCAGAUUGGCAGAAAGGGUGAUCAGAUCAUCAAAAAUAGAGAAUAAGACACCAUAAUUAUUUUUGAGAACUAACAAUCUAGCAGAAGAAGCAGCAAAAUACAAAAUGAUUACAAUACAGAGGCAUGCACAAGCUGCUAAAAGGGCACAUAAGCAGGGACUCUCAAGCAUCCAGAGGUUAAGGAGUUAAGGAAGAUGUUUCAUAAAAUGGGAGAGCUUAGCUGAGUGAUUAGAGAGGAGAAGAGAUAGCAAGAGAGAAGAAGGGUGGUGGAAGGGCAUUUUUGGAAAGGGGAACAGCAUGUUCAAGAGAUUUAAAAGAAUAAUAGUAAGGGAUAGGAAAAGCAGCAGAAUACAACAGACACUAGUAUGGCAGUAUGUAUAAAUGUGGCUGUAUAACCAAUGUGAUCCUGCAAUCUGUACACGUGGUAAAAAUAAUAAUUCAUACCUCAUUUGAAUCAAAUGUAUGAUAUAUGAUAUGUCAAGAUCAUUGUAAUGUUUUAAGCAACCAAUAAAAAAAAAAAAGAGUAAUAGUGCAGUGUAAGAACAUUCAGUCCAGUAGGAUAAGAGCAGAGGCAACAGAGCAGGAAGUACGCUAGGGAGGUAGGCAAGAGUUAGAUCUGAGAAGGCUUCAGACACUGAAUUCCAUGCCCAGGAGUUUGAAUUUCAUGCCUAAGAAUUCAGGGCCUCUGAGCCAGGCACAGUGACUCACGCCUGUAAUCCCAGCAGCUCGGGAGGCUGAGGCAGGAGGAUCAUGAGUUCAAACCAGCCUCAGCAAUUUAGCGAGGCACUAAGCAACUCAGUGAGACCUGUCUCUAAAUAAAAUACAAAAAAGGGCUCGGGGUGUGGCUCAGUGGUUGAGCACCCCUGAGUUCAAUCCCCUCAGAAUGUUUUUUCAGCAAAGCAGAAGUAUCAUCAGAUUUGUGCUUCAGAAAGUUCACUUCAGGAUAUGAGGAGAAUGAAUUGAGAUAGAUCAGUUAAGAAGCAAUUGCAAGGGCUGGGGAUAUAGCUCAGUGGUAGAGCACUUGCUUAGCAUGUGCAGGGCUCUGGGUCCAAUCCCCAAGGGUCACCAAAAAAAAAAGAAGAAGAAGAAGAAGCAAUUGCAAGCUAGGUAGAUUGCAAGCCUGUAAUCCCAUGGCUCAGGAGGCUGAGGCAGGAGGAUCACAAGUUCAAAGCCAGCCUCAGCAACUUAGUGAGGCCCUAAAGCAACUCAAUGAGACCCUGUCUCUAAAAAAAAAAAAGGCUGGAGGAUGUGGCUCAGUGGUUAAGCAACAAGGUUCGAUCCCCAGUACUGGGGGGGGGGGGAACCCUACAAUUGUAGUGAUUCAGGUGAAAAUUAAUAGGAUUCCAAUUAGGGCAGUGGAAAUACAAGGAAGGAGACACCUGGGAGAGAAGGGACUUGGUGACUAUUAGGAUCUCAGUUGCAAGUGUGGCGGGGAAGGAAGGGUGUAUGAUUGAUUCCCCAAGACAAUGUAUGAAAAAGAAGAGGUUGAGUGGAAGAAGAUAAUGAGUUUAGUUUCGGGCCUGGUGGAUUUAAAGGCUCUGUGGAGAUUCAAGAGGAAUCAUCCAGUAACUGUGGAUGCAUGAGUCUGAGCUAGGGAAAGGAGUAUGGGUCAUGCACAGAUUUGGGAGUCUUUGACUCUGGGUGGUGGCAGAUGAGAGUACCAAGAUAGGCAUUGUAGUAAGAUGAGAGGAUGGGGCUGGGGAUGUGGCUCAAGUGGUAGCGUGCUCGCCUGGCAUGCGUGUGGCUCGGGUUCGAUCCUCACCACCACAUACAAAUAAAGAUGUUGUGUCCGCUGAUAACUAAAAAUAAAAUAAAAUAAUUUAAAAAAAAAGAUGAGAGGAGUGUCAUGGCCAGGUUCCAGGGAAUCUCCACCAACCUCCUCCCCCUAAGAGGAAGGAGAUAGAGUGAAAGACUAAGAAAAACCAGAGAGCUGGGGGACCCAGAGAGAAUGAGGUCCUGGAUGUCAGCUUCGUUGACAUCCAGGACCUGGACCAUAUGCAGAGCACUUUCCAAGCAAGGGCUUGUUUCACCAUGCAUUAACAAACAGAAGUAUUCACAUGAAACUAGGCUCAGAUAACCAUCAGACCCAGUCACAUUGCUAGUUAACAGGGUAACUGAACCUUGAACUCAGAUGUUCUGACACCAAGGUCGGGGCACUCUUCACUAUCUAGCUUCCUUUUGGUUAAUUAUGAAAAGGUUCCACCUGCCCUUUGUGACCUGCAGAAUUAGCAGGUUUCUGUUCCCUUUUGUGUGGGAAUUCUUAGGUGAGAAUUCCACCUCUGAACUUUUGCUCACAUGAUCCUUGCAUCCUAGAUAUUCUAUCUUUUCUCUCUCUCUUCACUGGUGUGAAUUCUACUCAUUUUUCAAGCCCUACAGAAGUCCCUCCAUUAAGCCUUCCAUGAGGACUCCCGUUCACUCUGACAUCUCUCUUCUAAAUUCCUGAGGAAGAUACACCUUCAUGUGACCCCCUUUGAGCUCUUGUGUAAUUCCCUCCCCUUGAGGGUAAAUGGGACCUGUGACCUCUUCUAGGCAAUAAAAUAUGGCAAAGGUGAUGAUGUGACCCUCCCAUGAUUAUGUUACGGUAUUUAACAUUCCUCCCUAGCAGGCUAAGUGAGGAGGUUCUCCUGCAGGCCUUGAGAAAGUAGCUGCCCUCCUGAGAAGUGCCUUGGGGACACCACACUGUGGGGAACAGCAGAGACCUCCAGAAGCUGAGGGACAGCAAGAAAAUGGGGCCUUCAGUCCUGUACUCUGAGGAAAUUCUGCCAACAACCACAUGAACUUGGAAUAGGAUCUUGAGCUCCAAAAAGAAACAGCCCAGCCACCACUUUGAUUGCAGUGUGACCUGAGCAGAGGAUCCAACAGAGUCCAGAUUCCUGACACCGACUGAAACCACGAGACCAGGGAUGCAGCUUGGUUUUGUUUGUUUGGAGUUUUUAAAUUUUUAUUUAUUUUAUUCAUUUUAGUUGUUGAAGGACCUUUAUUUUUUAUUUAUAUGUGGUGCUGAGAAUCAAACCCAGUGCCUCACACAUUUGAGGCAAGUGCUCUACCACUGAGCCACAACCACAGCUCCUGCAUCUUGUUUUGUGUUACUGAAUAACAAUUGUUGCAGGUUGUUACACAGCAAUGGAUAAAUAAUAUACCUCCCAUUGCAUUUAUGGUCAGCACUAUUCAAGUUAGACCAGAAUAUAAUGCCUAGUUUUGCUUUACCUUUCCAAUCUGAACAUAAGCUUCUUGAAAACAAGGAACUGGUUACAUAUGAUUUGUCAUGCCCCCAUAGUAUAUGAGAAUGAGAGAUGUUUAUGGGAUGUUAGUCCAGGAGCUGGUGCUGUGACACACACCUGUAAUCCUAGCAGCUUGGGAAACUGAGGCAGGACAAUUGUGGGUUCAAAGCCAACCUCAUCAACUUAGGCCCUAAGAAAUUCAGUGAGACCGUGUCUCUAAAGAAAAUAUUUAAAAAGAGCUGGGAAUGUGGUUCAGUGAUUAAGUGUCCCUAGGUUCAAUUGCUGAUACCAAAAACAAAGAAUGUUAGUCCAGGAAAAGAUUCAAAAGUGGCUGACCCCUGCUGCAUAGGACCUUGGGGGGGACUCACACGACUAAUGUGGAGAACACGGAACAGCAUGCUUAGGACAUAAGUAUCAUUAACAACACUGUAAGUCAGGCAUGUGGUACACCUGUAAUCCCAGUGACUCAGGAGGAUGCGGCAAGAGGAUCCCAAGUUUGAAGCCAGCCUCAGCAACUCAGCGAGAUCCUGUCUGUCUGUAAUCCCAGCAUCAAUCCCAGCGACUCAGAGGCUGAAACUGGAGGAUUGUGAGUUCAAAGCCAGCCUCAGCAACUGCGAGGCACUAAGCAACUCAGUGAGACCCUGUCUCUAAAUAAAAUACAAAAAAUAGGGCUGGGGAUGUGGCUCAGUGGUCAAGAGCCCCUGAAUUAAAUCCCUAGUACCAAGUAAAUAAAAUAAAAAGGGCUGAGGAUGUACCUUAGUCACAGAGCACCCCUGGCACCCAACACUGAAAAAUAAUAAUAACACUAAUGUCACCUCUAACCUCAUUCCCUCUUUUUUUUUUCCCUAGUGAAGAAAUAGCUUCCCCGAUUGACCAACCAAAAAAGACCCAGCAAAGCAUAGCAGCUUGUCAAAGGUCACAGAGCAGAACAGUGGUCAGAAUUCAGCCCUGAGAAGACAGAUGACUUAAAAGAGGCAAGGAAGCAUUCCAUUACCUGUGGCGUCACCGGGCGAGGAGAACAAAGGACCCUGCCCUCAUUCCCUCCUCUUUCUUCACUACUUGUCUAUACUUGCUCCACGAAGACCACAUGAGAAAUUAUAUUUUUGGUAAAUGGAGUAACUGACUCUCACAGGAAAACCUAGAGACGAGAAGGUUUACUAGUCAAGAAUAGAUUAGUUGCAAACGAUAGAAAUCAACUAAAUCCUCAAUUCAAACUAACUUAAGCGAAAAAGAGUAUGUACAUGUUCACAGAGCUAAGGAGGACACAAACCACCCCAAAACCUAACGGCAAAACCAUCAUUUUAUGUUUACAGCCUCUGGGUCAGAAGUUCAGAUAGGACUCAGUGGGGAUGGUUGUCUCUGCUCUGUGAGCCUCUCUGAAGAACUCAGAGCCUCAGGGUGACCUGGCGACUGGAGUCUGAUUUCAUUUGGAAACACAUAUGGUGGCUGAGGCUGGCUGCUGGCUGGAACCUCUUCUCGGCCUGUGGUCUGCCCCCACCCAUGGCUUCUCCACAUGGCUACUCAGCUUCAAGCGCAUGGCGAGGACUCAAGGAAGAAACCAGUAGUGCAUGUGGCAUCUUUAUAACCUGACCUCAGAAGUCAUAUAGCAUAUGGUUUUGGCCCAAGUGGUCACAGAACGUGGCCUAGGUGCCAGGGCAGAGGACUUAACACCAUCCUCCAGUGGAAGGAGCAUUACAGCAUGUGAAAUGAGAUAUAUCAUGAGAUGAGAUGUAUAUUUUCCACUUUUGGGAAAUAGAAUCGUCCACACUGGGGUAAUUCAUAGCAAGUGCUGCAAGAACCAGGCCUUGGGGUUGGACACAGGGAGCUCAGGGAGACUUCUCUCUUUUCAUCUGCCUCUCAGUUUUACUCAUCUCUGUUUCUCUUAUAGGAAAAAGAGCCACCACCCCCCUUAUUUUUCUCAGCAUAUGUAUAGUUUCCCAGAGAAGGACUUUGAAUGGCCCUUACUUGAUCAAUUAAGGCCCUCCACUUGGAUCAAUUAACGGUACCUGAACAGCUCUGAUUAUCCACACCUGGAUCACAUGCUCAGGUCACAUACCUACGAAGAAAGCUUAUUGGGCAGACUGUAAAGAACAGCUAGUGCAAUGAAGUGCACACCUGUAAUCCCAGCAGCUCAGGAAGCUGAGGCAGGAGGAUCACAAGUUCAAGACCAGUCGAGACAUUUACUGAGGUUCUAAGCAACUUAGCAAAACCCUGACUCAAACUAAAAAGGGCUGAGAAUGUAACUCAGUGGUAAGCACCCCUAGGUUCAAUCCACGGUUACAAAAAAAAAAAAAAAUAGAAUAUAAUAGAAACGAGCUAGAACAGUCUACCACAGGUUUAACUUCAGUAAGCCUCUCUGUCAGCUUGGGGUGCGACCAUAAUUAGGCUAGUUCUCUACCACCCUUCUGUUAGCUGUACUGUUUCCGAGUCUUACCUGAUGAUCAUAUCAUGCACUAUCUUCUACGUGGCCACACACCAUGACUCUGAGAUUUUUGGAUUUCCCUUCAGAGGGUAAAGUUCCUGGACCUGACAGCCACCCUGGCCUGCUUUUCUCUACCAUUCCCUCUCGCCACACCUGACUACCAUGUUUCAAAGAGUCGACAUUCCUAAGUAGUCACUUUUCACCAUCCUUGUAGGCAGUUGUCACUCUGCUAGCUUCCCAGUAACUCCCCAUUUGCCCCCCUCACAAUCAAACUCAACUUUUCAAGGGCCCUUUAUUCCCUGGAAAUUACCUUCCAGAGCCAACAGUUGAGAAAUAACGCAAUACAUCAAGAGAUCGCAUGACCAAAAAAAACAGGGUUUCUGAGUUGUCAGCAUCAUCCAGUGGAAAAGGAUAUGAAAUGUUGUGUCAUCCACAUUGGCUCCUAUCUAGCUUUAAUCCUUAACAUGUCAUUAGGAUGCUUUGGAUUGCAAAUACAGAAAAUUUAAAAAUGGGUUUUUUUUAAGAUCUUAUUCAUUUAUUUAUCUAUUUUUUUUGGGGGGGGGGUUGUUUUUGUCUUUUUUGGAACGGGGGUAGAGCCCAGGGCUUUGUGAAUCAAGGCAGAUGCUUUUGCUACUGAGCUACAUCCCAGCCCUCAAAAAUGAUUUUAAAAGGAAAUGUAUGGUCUCAAGUAAGUAGCAGGACUAAAGGUGGUAAAUUCCAGAUCAGUUAACUCAACAGUUCAUCCAUGUAAAGGAUUCAUUCCUCCCAUCUCCCAUGUCUGCCACCUUCACUGUAUCAUCAGGACCGUUUCACUAAUGCCUCUCAUGGUGGCAAAAUGGCUGCUGAGUUCCAGGCAUCACCAACACACAUGGCUACAAUAUUGAGAAGCAGGAAAAAGGAAGUUUCUUAUUGAAGCUUGCCACAGUCUGGCUGGGCACAAAUCACGAGCCACUGAAGCAGGAACAAACUUUAUUUCUGAACUCCACCAGCACACUCCACACACACUCCCUGGGAACUCUCCCGAAUACCACGAGGCUCCUCCAGGAACCACCAACCAGAAAUCCCUCCUCCGGCAUUUCCCCAAUCAAUUCAAACUCUUCAGGAAUCCCCGUGAGAGCUCAACCGGAACUCAACGGGAACUCCGCGAGAACUUAAAAGUCAUCAUCUUAAUGGCUUGCUGGCGUCACCUCUCAACCUCUACUUCUGGCAAAAAUGCCAUGCGUCAUCCGGACUCGGCUGUGGCCCUCAACAGAAGCUCCUUUUUUUUUAAGUUGUUGAUGGACCUUUAUUUUAUUUAUUUUUAUGUGGUGCUGAGGAUCCAACCCAGCGCUUGGCACACGCUAGGCCAGCUCUCUACCAUUGUGCCACAACCCCAGCCCUCCUUUUUGUUGUUGUUUUU